AUCAGGGUGUGUUUUCCUUUGUGACAUCAUUAGCUUUUCUUGGGAUCUCAAAGGACCCUGUGCAGCAGGCCACUAUUUGAAUGUGUGUUGCUCCUUGUGGCAGGUAUACUGUUCCAAUGCCCUGGGAUCUCUGUAGUGGUCGGUACUGUAUUGAUUAUAAAUGGUGAAGUCCUAGUAUCUUGCUAGAGUGAGCUGGCCAGGAUGGUGGAGCUCUACCACCAUUUCACAGGUUAUAGACAGGGGCCACCAGGUUUCAGGAAAGCAGCAAUGACCCCUCAGUAAUAGUUGGAAAGUGUGAUAUGACACUGAGCUUCACUGUGUUGGUGAAGAAGAGGUGAGGAAAAUAAAAGCUGCAGUUUGCCUCCACCUCUGAAGAAGCACAAUACACCUUUCUGGGUUACCAAUGGGAUACUUCCCAACAGCUUUGUCAUCACAUACAAUAUUCUCAAACAAGAUCUUAAUGGCAUCUACUUUCUCCAGGAACACAGCCCCUGACCUGUGUGUGUUUGCGUAGAGAAGGCAUGCUAUGUACCCCCUAGGAUAUCAAGAUUCCUGUAGCAGAUUGAGCUCUGGCAGUUGAUCUCAGUGGCUUGAUAGAGUGUCAUUAUAAAAACGCACCUGGAAGAUUCUGUGGAAAAGACAACCUCAGAAGACCAAGAGGCUGACUUUGCAAGAGAGAGUCCGUUUACCACUUAGAACCGUG
rnacentral:lncRNA from 1 species